GUAUAAAAGUCAUAAUUAUGGCAUAAAAAGUCGAAAUUAUUCAUAAUAAUGACAUAAGUCAUAAUAAUAUCUCAAUGUACCAAUGUCAGCA